rnacentral:miRNA from 1 species
UUACCGAUUCCCCCCAUUCCAA